UUGGACACUUCGAAAAUUUCCUGGUGCAGAAGGAGGGGGAAACUAAAAUUGACUGGGAUUAAACUGAGUUAUACAAAAGCUAAUACCUAUUUCCUAUACCCUGCAGUUGAGGGUGGAGUCAUUCCUGCUACACUUGUGUCAAGUACUGUAUAAUUUAUGAUGUGAAGCCAUGGAGUUUGAGUCAACCCAGAUCUGAGUUUGAAUUCCAGCUGUGUGACCCAAGCUUUUGUCCCAGCUUUUUCUGAGUUUUCCUCCUGCAGGGCCCCCAAGGCCUGGGGAUAAACAGCCCACAUUCUGCACAUUCCCUGCUUUGCAGUACCCCUAAGCAGGCAGCAGAUUUAUUUGGACCUCCAGCUCUCAGAGACAACUACUGCCUUUCAGACAGGAAAACAGGCCCAGAGGAGUUAAGUAAUUGGCCCCAAAGCCACACAACUAGCAAGUGACAGAACCAGGAUUUGAACCCAGGUCUGUCUGGCUCCAAAGGCCAGAGAAAGGAGGGGCAAAGAGGGAGAAUGGAGGAGCUGCCUGAAGUGAGGAACGGGUGAGGAAUGGAGGAGGCUUGCAUUUUCUUUCUUUCCCUUCCACGGACAGCUUGCUCAGGAACGCUGACUGGGUGUCCCUCUCUCUCUCUGACCUACCUAAUUUAGGCCUGGAGCUUUGAAUGAGAACAGGUGGGUUUUUUUCCUGCCUGGUGCCUCUGUUUCCCCAAUUUCAUCUGAUAUCCUUCCUAGCUGUGAUAAGGAGGAGCCAGCAGUGGGGGAAAUUUGAACUCUGGGCUCUGAGUAAAAUCUGGCAGAGCUUCCUCCGGAACCUCCCUCCUCUCAGGCCUUUCUGUUCCUGGACAAGUUGACCAGUGUGUGAGUCUAUCUGAGCAGCUCCCUUGUGCUGGCUGCUCUGUAGGGCACAACAACAAGAUAAGGCUUGAUAACAGGGAAUGAGGCCAGCCAGAAUGUGCACAGGGAUCCUGCAUAGCAGUGAGCAUAAGGAAUUCAGGGAUGCAGGCAUUCGGGGUGGGUUGGAAUAGUCAGGGGAGAAUUCCUAGAGGAAGUGGGUCUCAAGAGGUGGGUAGGGUUGGGAUGAAAGAAAAAGCAAAGAGUGUUCUUGGAGAUGGGAAUAAUUCAGAAGUCUUGGAGAGUACGCCUCUCUCUGGAGCUCUGGGAACCCCAAUGAUGGAGGAAUUCUAUCAUCUACCCAUUCAUUCUUUCACUCAUUCAUUUAAUAAACAUAUAUUAAACACUUACUUCAUAUUUAGAGUGGUGAUGGCCGG
rnacentral:lncRNA from 1 species